rnacentral:rRNA from 1 species
UACGUAGGGUGCAAGCGUUAAUCGGAAUUACUGGGCGUAAAGCGUGCGCAGGCGGUUUUUGUAAGUCAGAUGUGAAAUCCCCCGGGCUUAACCUGGGGAACUGCGUUUUGAAAACUACAAGGCUAGAGUGUGGCAGAGGGGGGGUGGAAUUCCACGUGUAGCAGUGAAAUGCGUAGAGAUGUGGAGGAACACCGAUGGCGAAGGCAGCCCCCUGGGUUAACACUGACGCUCAGGCACGAAAGCGUGGGGAGCAAACAGG